AGCAGUCGCCGCGGUAAUACGGAGGGUGCAAGCGUUAAUCGGAAUUACUGGGCGUAAAGCGCACGCAGGCGGUCUGUCAAGUCAGAUGUGAAAUCCCCGGGCUUAACCUGGGAACUGCAUUUGAAACUGGCAGGCUAGAGUCUUGUAGAGGGGGGUAGAAUUCCAGGUGUAGCGGUGAAAUGCGUAGAGAUCUGGAGGAAUACCGGUGGCGAAGGCGGCCCCCUGGACAAAGACUGACGCUCAGGUGCGAAAGCGUGGGGAGCAAACAGGAUUAGAUACCCCAGUAGUCCCUGUCUCUUAUAA
rnacentral:rRNA from 1 species